rnacentral:rRNA from 1 species
UUGCCUACGGGACGCAGCAGUGGGGGAUAUUGCACAAUGGGGGAAACCCUGAUGCAGCGACGCCGCGUGAGUGAAGAAGUAUUUCGGUAUGUAAAGCUCUAUCAGCAGGGAAGAAAAAAGACGGUACCUGACUAAGAAGCCCCGGCUAACUACGUGCCAGCAGCCGCGGUAAUACGUAGGGGGCAAGCGUUAUCCGGAUUUACUGGGUGUAAAGGGGGCGCAGACGGCGAUGCAAGCCAGGAGUGAAAGCCCGGGGCCCAACCCCGGGACUGCUCUUGGAACUGCGUGGCUGGAGUGCAGGAGGG